ensembl:lncRNA novel transcript
ACAUAGGGUGAGAAACGGAGGCCUUCAGCCAACAGCUGGGAGAAGCUGAGUCCCAUCAGCCAUUCAAAAGACUGCAGCCCCAGCCAAGAGUUUGAUGUAACCUCAGGAGAGACCCUGAGCCAGAACCACCUAGAAAUCUCCAAGUGAGAAGACCUUACUUGUCUUCUGAAAGUCUGGCCAACGAGCUAUACCUAGUGAUUCCAAAGUCCACAUAUAUUUACUCUGUUCUCACUGUACAAAGUAACCACUCUGAAGUCAAAAAAGCUGGGAUACAUGAAGACUGCCAUCCCUUGAGUCACUUGCCCUGUAGCUGCCACUGUUGGAAAAGGGCUUGCUUCUGUGUCCUUGUGCCCACUUUGAAAAUCCCUGGGAAGUCCUUGGAGUCAGAUGAGCAGGCCUCCGCCACUCUGCCAAAAAGUCUGUUCAAUCAGGAGUCCCCAACCCCUGAGCCAUGGACUGAUAUGGAGCUAUGGUCUGUUAGGAACUGGGCUGCCCAGGAGGAGCAGGAAGUUUCACAUCACUAGAGAAGAGAGAAGAAGGACAUUUGUACUGGGAGGAGUCGACCGGUCCCAGUAAGGAGAAAGUAGCUACAGCGUCAUGGGUGAGCUGGGUCCCCCAAAAAGGAACUUUAAGGGAAUGGACUGAAUCAAGUCUGAGAUGUCCCCAAAGCAAGACCAAAGAACUGAGGAAGAGAAGCAUUCAUCAGAAACCAAAAUUCAGCUACAAGUGAGCAUCCAGAUGGAGGUAUUAUGAAGAGGAACUGAGACUGAGGGCAAAAGGUGCCAGCCAGAAUCCUGGAUAGGAGAGCAAGAACCAGGACCUCAUUUAAGAGACAACCUGCUUAAGGCAGAGUAAGCACAAAUGGGCACUCAACAUCAAUGAAGUAACAGCAAAGUCACAUAAUAAAAGCAUGGAAUUAAGACAAGCUGAAGAUUCGGAUGCAAUAAAACAACCACCCAUUAUU